rnacentral:rRNA from 1 species
AGCGAACGCUGGCGGCAGGCCUAACACAUGCAAGUCGAGCGCCCCGCAAGGGGAGCGGCAGACGGGAGAGUAACACGUGGGAACGUGCCCUUUGGUUCGGAACAACCCAGGGAAACUUGGGCUAAUACCGGAUAAGCCCUCACGGGGAAAGAUUUAUCGCCGAAGGAUCGGCCCGCGUCUGAUUAGCUAGUUGGUGGGGUAAUGGCUCACCAAGGCGACGAUCAGUAGCUGGUCUGAGAGGAUGAUCAGCCUCACUGGGACUGAGACACGGCCCAGACUCCUACGGGAGGCAGCAGUGGGGAAUAUUGGACAAUGGGCGCAAGCCUGAUCCAGCCAUGCCGCGUGGAUGAUGAAGGCCCUAGGGUUGUAAAGCCCUUUCGGCGGGGAAGAUAAUGACGGUACCCGCAGAAGAAGCCCCGGCUAACUUCGUGCCAGCCGCCGCCGUAAAAC